rnacentral:lncRNA from 1 species
GGAGGGAAAGAAGCUCUUCUGAAACCCUAGCCUGGGAUAGUGAUCGGUUGUCUUUGGAGCAACAGGAACGGGAUCAAGCAGAGGAAGAACUCAUGGCAGGACGGAGUCCUGGGCACCAACUGCCCCAUCCCGCCCAACUCCAACUUCACCUACAAGUGGCAGGCCAAGGAUCAGAUCGGCUCCUUCUUCUACUUCCCAUCGACGGCGAUGCACCGGGCCGCCGGCGGCUUCGGGGGGCUCAACGUGAACCAGAGGGGGCCCAUUCCUAUCCCAUAUCCGGUUCCCGCCGGAGAUUUCACCCUCCUCAUCGGCGACUGGUACA